rnacentral:rRNA from 1 species
AGUACCGGUUAGUAACCUGGGUUGGUGCCUUGGCCGGGUACCCAUAAGUAAGAAAACCCCAGGGGCUAAAUUUACUGUCCCGCNCAGCCCGGGGUAAAUAGAUAGGUGGCCAAGNUUUGUCCGGAAUUUAUUGGGGUGUAAAGCGCGCGCAGGGUNNUUUUCUUAAUGUCNUAUGUGAAAGCCCCAGGGUCUCACCCGGUGGAGGGCUCAUUGNAAAUUGGGGAGAUUUGAUGUGCAGAGAGAGGAUAGUGGAAUUCCCAGAGUGUAGAGGUGAAAUGUGUAGAGAUUGGGAGGAACACCAGUGGCGAAGGAGACUAUUUGGUCUGUAAUUGCCAUGGAGCCGCGAAAGCGUGGGGAGCAACCAGGUUUGGAUACCUUGUUAGUCCACGCCGUAAAGGAUGAGUGUUAAUUGUUAGGGGGUUUCCGCCCGUUAGUGCGGCAGCUAACGCAUUAAUCACUCGGCUUGGGGAGUACGGUGGCAAGAUUGAAAUUCAAAGAAAUUGAGGGGGGCCGGCCCAACCGGUGGAGAUUGUGGUUUAAUUGGAAGCAACGGGAAGACCCUUCCCAGCUCUUGCCAUCCCGUUGACCUCCGUAGAGAUAUGGUUUCCCUCUUCGGGGGCAACGGUGACAGGUGCUGCAUGGUUGUCGUCAGCUGUUGUCAUGAGAUGUUGGGUUAAGUCCCGCAACGACCGCCACCCUCGAUAUUAGUCACCAUCAUUUAGUUGGGCAUUUUAAGAUGACUCCGGGUGCCAACCCGGAGGAAGGUGGGGAGGACGUCAGUUCUUCAUGCCCUUUAUGCCAUGGGUUCCCCACUUGUUCCAAUGUAGGAUCCGAGGGGUUCACACCUCGGGAGAUGAAGCUAUUCCGAUAACGUUGUUUCCAUUUGGGAUGGUAUGUUGAAAUUGGCUUACAGGAAUCGGGAAUCGUUGGUAUUGCAGGUUCAGCAUGCUGCGGUGAAUACGUUCCCGGGCCUUGUACACACCGCCCGUCACACCAUGAGAGUUUGUAGCACCAGAAGUAGGUGAGGUAACCUUCUGGAGCCAGCCUUGCCCAAGGUUGG